rnacentral:lncRNA from 1 species
AUUGAUUAGCUAUGAUUAUGAGAAUGUACAGAAUAACAAACUGAAAGUAAAGAGACUUGGGAGCAAAAUUUCUAUAUAUGAGGUGCAUGUCCUAUACAUAGUUUCUAUUGCACAAAUAGAUAAGUAAAAUCCUAUAGUCAUGUUUUCUACCCAUUCCCGUUAACUAAGCAUGCAUAACCCUCCCAAUUUCACUAUAAACCCCAUUAUUCUUUGCAAGUUAUUACAAGCCAACAAUUCAAAAAUACAACAGUGAUAAAAAGAAGAAACUAUUAUAUAGGGAGCCUACAGCCAGGCCCAAGAUCUCCAACCUCCCUACUUUCGAGUUUCACAGCCAUUGCCAAGGUUUGGGUGCAGCAAAGUUCCCUAAGGGUUCGUUUGAACCCCUGGCAAAUACCAAGCACCCAAAAUAUCCCAAUUGGACAAGUGCAAGAGUAGAAGUGCCAGCCUUGUGCAUCUAUGUUCAAUGGGUGCUUAAGGCUCCCAAGGCAAUGCUUACACUAAGGGGACAAGACUCUAAGGUUAUAAGAAUGGGGAUUGUGAUUAGAAUUGAGAGAGUGAAAAAAAUUGAGAGACGGCUUGAUAACACAGUUGAAAGAGUUGAAAAAGUUGAGACAGUUUAAGAAGAUAGUUGAAAGUGUUGCAAGAGGUUGAGACAGUUUAAGAAAAUAGUUGAAAGAGUUGCAAGAGUUCUUUUUAAAAAAGCAUUUAGAUUGACCAGUUUUAGAGCAACAGAGCAUCACACAAAUAAGGGCACAGGGGAAGGGAACAAAUAAGUAAAGUAAACUACUUACACAGGCAAUAUAUUGGAAGAAAGUAAUCAGACAUGAUUGUAAGAUAGGAGCUCAAUUCUCACUAUGCCAAUCUCUAACACACUUAGCCUCAAACAUGGGCUUCAGGCUAACCAAGUAGCCAAGAAGACAUGGAUGCAUGGUAGUAGUACACAAGGAAAGAGUAAACAUUUUUUGAGAUAGGUGAGGGGGUAAGGGAGCAAAUAAGUAAAGUCUACAGACAACAUAUUGGAAGAAAGUAAUCAGACAUGGUUGUAAAACAAGAGUUUAGUUCUUAGUGCACCAAACCCCAAAUAUAAUCAUCCUCAGGGAGAGGUUUCAUGGCUGUUAAGUAGCCAAGCAGUAGUGCACAUGGAAGAGGAAAACAUUCAUUGAGACAAGGAAAGGGGGGUAGGGGAAUCAUGCUAAGCAAAACUAGGUAGACUAAUAACUACAUGCUAGUGGCAAUAAGAGCAACAGAACCAUAGGUAAAAGCACACAAUAAAUAAUAUGAAGUGCCAGACUAAUAGAAGAAUGUUGUUUUAGAGGCUAUAUAUUAAAUAGGUGACAUACCAAUUGCAGGUAAUAGAACACAAUAGCAAUGAGCAAUAGUGCACAAAGGAACAAAGUGAGCAGAGAGUGUAAGCACCAGAGGGAAUAACAUCAGUAUGAGAAUAGCAGCAACAAUAUGAGAACAGCAGCAACAAUAUGAGAAUAGCAACAAACAUAGACCCAAGUAGACAAACAGUAGAACCCAGUAGUGUAGAAGUAAUCUACCUAGGCUACUCAAUUUCGCUUUUAGCCGAUUGAGUGUUCCAAUAAGAGAAUGAGAGAGUAUAGUAAUAACAGAGAAACAGAGAAUUCAGAGAGUCUGAGGUUGU